rnacentral:rRNA from 1 species
CCGGCGCACGGGUGAGUAACGCGUAUGCAACUUGCCUAUCAGGAGGGGGAUAACCCGGCGAAAGUCGGACUAAUACCGCAUGAAGCAGGGGCCCCGCAUGGGGAUAUUUGCUAAAGAUUCAUCGCUGAUAGAUAGGCAUGCGUUCCAUUAGGCAGUUGGCGGGGUAACGGCCCACCAAACCGACGAUGGAUAGGGGUUCUGAGAGGAAGGUCCCCCACAUUGGUACUGAGACACGGACCAAACUCCUACGGAAGGCAGCAG